rnacentral:lncRNA from 1 species
AAGGAAACCCCGUGCACACACUUGGUCACGUCACAUCCGGGUACUAUAUGUUUUGGUGAGUGUAGACCACACGGUCUUAAAACAUCCAGGAGUCGAACAGAGAGGACUGCAGAGAUGAUGCCAGGCUCUGCCCAGCUCAGACCUCCUGACUGACAUCUGUGCUCCAGUAUGACUUUGAAUUCAAAAGGACAGUCUCCCUGGAGCAGCUCAGGGUUAAGUACCUUGCUCAGGGGCACAAUGGUGGCAGCCCUGGUAUUGAACUCACAACCAUCUGGUUUGGAAGGCGUACCACUAGGCUAUCGCCAUCCCCGUUUGAUGUUGCAAAAAAAAUGGCGAGGAAAAACUAAAUGCCACAGACUGCAGAGAUGA